CCUACGGGUGGCAGCAGUGAGGAAUAUUGGUCAAUGGGCGGAAGCCUGAACCAGCCAAGUCGCGUGAGGGAUUAAGGCCCUGCGGGUCGUAAACCUCUUUUGUCGGGGAGUAGAGGUCCGGACGUGUCCGGGCCGGGAUAGUACCCGGAGAAAAAGCAUCGGCUAACUCCGUCCCCGAAGCCGCGGUAAUACGGAGGGUGGAAGCGUUUACCGGAAUCAUUGGGUGUAAAGAGUGCGGAGGCGGCAUGGAAAGUCAGGGGUGAAAGGCGCAGGCUCAACCUGUGUAUGGAACUUGAUACUUGCAAGCUGGAAUGCGGUAGAGGUAAAGGGAAUUCCUGGUGUAGCGGUGAAAUGCUUAGAUAUCAGGAAGAACAUCGAUGGCGUAAGCGCUUUACUGGGCCGUAAUGGACGCUGAGGAACGAAAGCCAGGGUAGCAAAUGGGAUUAGAUACCCGUGUAGUC
rnacentral:rRNA from 1 species